ACUGCCCAUUUUUUUCUACUGUGUUAUUGACUUGCUAAUUGUUUACUCCAUGUGUAACUCUGUGUUGUCUGUUCACACUGCUAUGCUUUAUCUUGGCCAGGUCGCAGUUGCAAAUGAGAACUUGUUCUCAACUAGCCUACCUGGUUAAAUAAAGGUGAAAUAAAAAAAAAAAAUUAAAAAUGUAGAGAUGUUAUGUAGAGGUGUUAUCAGGAGUUAUGUAGAGGUGUUAUGAGGAGUUAUGUAGAGGAGUUAUGUAGAGGUGUUAUCAGGAGUUAUGUAGAGGUGUUAUCAGGAGUUAUGUAGAGGUGUUAUGUAGAGGUGUUAUGAGGAGUUAUGUAGAGGUGUUAUGUAGAGGUGUUAUCAGGAGUUAUGUAGAGGUGUUAUGAGGAGUUAUGUAGAGGAGUUAUGUAGAGGUGUUAUCAGGAGUUAUGUAGAGGUGUUAUCAGGAGUUAUGUAGAGGUGUUAUGUAGAGGUGUUAUCAGGAGUUAUGUAGAGGUGUUAUGAGGAGUUAUGUAGAGGAGUUAUGUAGAGGUGUUAUGAGGAGUUAUGUAGAGGUGUUAUGUAGAGGUGUUAUCAGGAGUUAUGUAGAGGUGUUAUGAGGAGUUAUGUAGAGGAGUUAUGUAGAGGUGUUAUCAGGAGUUAUG